UACAGAGGGUGCAAGCGUUAAUCGGAAUUACUGGGCGUAAAGCGUGCGUAGACGGUUAUGUAAGUCAGAUGUGAAAGCCCCGGGCUCAACCUGGGAAUUGCAUUUGAGACUGCAUAGCUAGGGUGCGGAAGAGGGAAGCGGAAUUUCCGGUGUAGCGGUGAAAUGCGUAGAUAUCGGAAGGAACACCAGUGGCGAAGGCGGGUCUCUGGGCAACAACUGACGCUGAGGAGCGCAAGCGUGGGGAGCGAACAGG
rnacentral:rRNA from 1 species